rfam:Oreochromis niloticus linkage group LG4, whole genome shotgun sequence.
GUCGGGUACGGGGACAUGUGCCCGGGCACGGUUGGGGGAAAGCUGGUGGGCUCCAUGUGUGCCAUUGCUGGCGUGCUCACCAUCUCUUUGCCUGUGCCUGUCAUUGUGUCCAAC